rnacentral:rRNA from 1 species
UGGGGAAUAUUGCACAAUGGGCGCAAGCCUGAUGCAGCCAUGCCGCGUGUAUGAAGAAGGCCUUCGGGUUGUAAAGUACUUUCAGCGGGGAGGAAGGGAGUAAAGUUAAUACCUUUGCUCAUUGACGUUACCCGCAGAAGAAGCACCGGCUAACUCCGUGCCAGCAGCCGCGGUAAUACGGAGGGUGCAAGCGUUAAUCGGAAUUACUGGGCGUAAAGCGCACGCAGGCGGUUUGUUAAGUCAGAUGUGAAAUCCCCGGGCUCAACCUGGGAACUGCAUCUGAUACUGGCAAGCUUGAGUCUCGUAGAGGGGGGUAGAAUUCCAGGUGUAGCGGUGGAAUGCGUAGAGAUCUGGAGGAAUACCGGUGGCGAAGGCGGCCCCCUGGACGAAGACUGACGCUCAGGUGCGAAAGCGUGGGGAGCAAACAGG